ensembl:lncRNA
UCAUUAUAAGCCAUCAGUUUUUCUCCCACACAUAGGGUUUUGAAGGGGGAAAAGUCAUUAGACAUACCACAAUUUUUUUAAAAAAUAGACUUUUAAAAGAACAAGUAGAAGCAUUGUGGGAUGUGUGUGUGUGUGUGUGUGUUUGCUGAAAAAUAGUCUGAGAACCCAAAGGCUAAUGCUACACAAUUUAUUUGAUUAAUGUAGACAGCUUUUCAAAUAAUUGAGGAUGUAUGACAGAUUGCCUGAAUGGUUUUCACCAUUUACGUGAUCUGAGUGAAACAGAUGCUAAUUAGAAACUCUUUUCCUUAGGAGACAUACAUUUUCCAGGAAAUCAGUCAUGUUUGACACACUGUGUGACGUGAAUGUACAAAUAUCAAUUGACCCUGAAUAUUACAAAGUUUCAACGACUUGUCUUCCAUUUACUAUGUCCCUACCAGAGCAAAAAUUGAUCAUUGCUCUGUAAUAACCACACAGGUAUUCUGAGUGUGGACACUGAGCAGUCUUCAGCUUCUUACUGUCUUUGACACUCCUUGUUCAGAAAGUUGACUGAGCAUGACAUUGACUUUAUGUAGCUCAUGUUCUUCUGUAGUCCUGCUGCUAUGGUUCUGUUUGGAUGGUGGUCAGCUUCUCUCAUCUGGACCAUCUUCUUCCUUCUGGACAACCCUUUCUCCAAUACCAUCCUCUUCCAGUAUGUCCUCACUGCCAUCCCCAAAGCAUCUUGUCCUAUUAUCCAGAAACCUCUAAAAUGGCUUUCUAAUUAAAACCUGAUUUCAUUUUCUGUAUCUCUCAUCCUCCAAGAGAGCAUCCUGCACUGCCUUGCUCAAAAUAUCAACCUCUGCUCGUCUCCAAAACAUCACGAGCCGCUUGUGUGAGUAGGAUUCCAUAGGAUUCAGCAUAAAAUAUGUUCAGCAUGCUUUCUUCAAACCAUGUUUUUAAACAUUCAAUGAAUAAAAGUUUUAACCCCUGAAUAAAGACUAAAGUAUACCUUAAGGAUAUAGAAUUAUAAGACAGGCUUUAUUGCAAAUCGAGUAUUUAUCAAGUAUAGGGAGUGGGAAACUAAACUGAAUGAGUUAGUCUGUGUUUAUUAGCUGCUUUCCCCUUAUUGUCAAAAAAAAAAAAAAGGGGAGUGUGCCUUAGGGUUGGAAGAUGACUUUAGCAAAAUAGAGAGGGGGAUUUAUUCUGAUCAGUGCAAGAAAGAAAAAAAAAGUAAGGCUUAGUAAGCAUAGAUAAGAAAUAAAUACAAGCCUUCCCAAAGAUCAUAAGGCAACUUUAUUUCUGAAAAAGAAAUAUCAAUUUUGAGAAUUGGAAAAGAGCAGGGAAAAGCCAACAAGAGAUCUCAAAUCAAGUAUCAGAUAAAACCAAGGACAUAUUUACAACAUCCAUAAAGUGUACUGGAUGCUCACCAGGUAAGAAGAAAUAAGAGCUUUCUAGUUGGACAAAGAGGAAAAUUAAGUGUAACGUGAUGGGGGAAAAAUAAUUUUUUUUUUUUUUUUUGAGAGGGAGUCUCGCUCUGUCGCCCACGCUGGAGUGCAGUGGUACAAUCUCGGCUCACUGCAAGCUCCGCCUCCCAAGUUCACGCCUUUCUAUUGCCUCAGCCUCCGGAGUAGCUGGGACUACAGGCGCCCGCCACCACGCCUGGCUAAUUUUUUGUAUUUUUAGUAGAGACAGGCUAAUUUUUGGUAUUUUUAGUAGAGACGGGAUUUCACCAUGUUAGCCAGGAUGAUCUCGAUCUCCUGACCUCGUGAUCCGCCUGCCUCGGCCUCCCAAAGUGUUGGGAUUACAGGCGUGAGCCACUGCGCCCGGCCAAAGAUAAAUUAUUCGAAUCAUUUACUUGACACCAGAGUUUCUCUUAAUGAUACAAGCUACCUUUGUUUAGGAAAAUAACCUGAAAGAUUGUUUUGCGUGGGAAAAAAGAGACCCUCUCCUGAAACAUGGUGUGUAGUAUGGUCUUUAAAAAAAAAAAAAAAAAA